GACGAACGCUGGCGGCGUGCUUAACACAUGCAAGUCGAACGGAGAAGGCCCCUGCUUUUGUGGGGCCCGAAUGACUGGCGAACGAGUGACAUAACGCGUGACCAGCCCGCCCCCUUCUUCUGGAUAACCGCAUGAGAGUGUGACUAAUAAUGGAUAUUCCGGGCCUGCUGCGUGGUGGGUGAGGGAAAGAUUGUGCCUUAGGGAGUCUUCGGUGAGCGAUGGGCUCGCGGCCUAUCGGCUUGCUGGUGGUGUGAUGGCCUACCAACGUGAUGACGGGAACCCCGCCUGAGAGAGUGAAAUGCCACCCUGACACUGACACACGGCCCAAACUCCUACUGUAGGCAACAGUGCGGAAUACUGAUCCAUGGGCGCCACCCUGAUGCAGACACCCCUCGUGAUGGAUGGAGGCCUCCCCUGUGAGAACCUCUUUCUGCCGUGAAUCAGGCCUGACCCUUCUGCGAGCGGGUUGACAGCAGCUGGAUAAAAACCUCCGGCUAAAUACUUGCCAGCAUCCACUGUAAUACAUAGGGCGCGAGCGUUGUCAUGAAUUAUUAAGCGUAAACAUCUCGCAUGCCGCUGGUCGCGCUCUGUCAUGAAAUCCUCUGGCUUAACUGGGGGCGUGCUGUGGGUACGGGCCGGCUUGAGUGCGGUAGGGGAGACUGGAACUCCUGGUGUAGCGGUGGAAUGCGCAGAUAUCAGGAAGAACACCGGUGGCGAAGGCGGGUCUCUGGGCCGUUACUGACGCUGAGGAGCGAAAGCGUGGGGAGCGAACAGGAUUAGAUACCCUGGUAGUCCACGCCGUAAACGUUGGGCACUAGGUGUGGGGGGCCUUUUCCGGGUCUUCCGCGCCGUAUCUAACGCAUUAAGUGCCCCGCCUGGGGAGUACGGCCGCAAGGCUAAAACUCAAAGGAAUUGACGGGGGCCCGCACAAGCGGCGGAGCAUGCGGAUUAAUUCGAUGCAACGCGAAGAACCUUACCAAGGCUUGACAUGUGCCGGUCGGCUCCGGAGACGGGGUUUCCUCCUUGUGGGGCCGGUUCACAGGUGGUGCAUGGUUGUCGUCAGCUCGUGUCGUGAGAUGUUGGGUUAAGUCCCGCAACGAGCGCAACCCUUGUCCCGUGUUGCCAGUACGUUGUGGUGGGGACUCGCGGGAGACUGCCGGGGUCAACUCGGAGGAAGGUGGGGAUGACGUCAAAUCAUCAUGCCCCUUAUGUCUUGGGCUUCACGCAUGCUACAAUGGCCGGUACAGAGGGCUGCGAUCCCGUGAGGUGGAGCGAAUCCCUUAAAGCCGGUCUCAGUUCGGAUCGGGGUCUGCAACUCGACACCGUGAAGUUGGAGUCGCUAGUAAUCGCAGAUCAGCAACGCUGCGGUGAAUACGUUCUCGGGCCU
rnacentral:rRNA from 1 species